GACGUAGGGCGCGAGCGUUGUCCGGAUUUACUGGGCGUAAAGGGCUCGUAGGUGGCCAACUAAGUCAUACGUGAAAUCCCUCGGCUUAACCGGGGAACUGCGUCUGAUACUGGAUGGCUUGAGAUUGGGAGAGGGAUGCGGAAUUCCAGGUGUAGCGGUGAAAUGCGUAGAUAUCUGGAGGAACACCGGUGGCGAAGGCGGCAUCCUGGACCAACACUGACACUGAGGAGCGAAAGCCAGGGGAGCAAACGGG
rnacentral:rRNA from 1 species